rfam:Firmicutes bacterium CAG:124 genomic scaffold, scf201
AUGAACGAAUCAGGAGAGGGCAUACCCGUAUGCCGCCGAAGGGGAACGCGCAACGAACUCUCAGGCAAAAAAACUGAUUCCGGACG